UACGUAGGGUGCGAGCGUUGCUCGGAAUCACUGGGCGUAAAGGGUGCGUAGGCGGGUCUUUAAGUCAGGGGUGAAGUCCUGGAGCUCAACUCCAGAACUGCCUUUGAUACUGAGGAUCUUGAGUUCGGGAGAGGUGAGUGGAACUGCGAGUGUAGAGGUGAAAUUCGUAGAUAUUCGCAAGAACACCAGUGGCGAAGGCGGCUCACUGGCCCGAUACUGACGCUGAGGCACGAAAGCGUGGGGAGCAAACAGG
rnacentral:rRNA from 1 species